rnacentral:rRNA from 1 species
UACGUAGGGGGCAAGCGUUGUCCGGAUUUAUUGGGCGUAAAGAGCGUGUAGGCGGCCACACAGGUCUGCUGUGAAAACUCGAGGCUCAACCUCGAGCUGUCGGUGGAAACCGUGUGGCUAGAGUCCGGAAGAGGAGAGUGGAAUUCCCGGUGUAGCGGUGAAAUGCGUAGAGAUCGGGAGGAACAUCUGUGGCGAAGGCGGCCACCUGGACCAGCACUGACACUGAGGCACGAAAGCGUGGGGAGCAAACAGG